rnacentral:rRNA from 1 species
CCUACGGGGGGCAGCAGUGAGGAAUAUUGGUCAAUGGACGCAAGUCUGAACCAGCCAUGCCGCGUGCAGGAAGACGGCUCUAUGAGUUGUAAACUGCUUUUGUACGAGGGUAAAUCCCGAUACGUGUAUCGGGUUGAAAGUAUCGUACGAAUAAGGAUCGGCUAACGCCGUGCCAGCAGCCGCGGUAAUAAGGAGGAUUCAAGGGUUAUCCGGAUUUUUUGGGUUUAAAGGGUGCGUAGGCGGUUCGGUAAGUUAGAGGUGAAAUUCCGGGGCUCAACUCCGGCACUGCCUUUGAUACUGUCGGGCUAGAGUUUGGGUGCGGUAGGCGGAAUGUAUGGUGUAGCGGUGAAAUGCUUAGAGAUCAUACAGAACACCGAUUGCGAAGGCAGCUUACCAGGCUACUUCUGACGUUGAGGCACGAAAGCGUGGGGAGCAAACAGGAUUAGAUACCCCGGUAGUC